ACACUUUGAUUGUGUUGCGGGGGAGGAUAGGGAGUGGGCGCAAGUCUGCUUUCCUACCAACUCUACUUCACAAGUGGAUUAACAUCCAUAACCCCUGUGAACUUGUUCAAGUCUUUAUGACGUGAACUUCAAUCACCCUAAAUGUAUUGUCUUCUGAUUAAUAAAACCCUCUCGAAGGUGUCACAACCAACGAUGAGAAUUUUAAUCUUAAAA
rnacentral:misc_RNA from 1 species